rnacentral:rRNA from 1 species
CGGGAGGCAGCAGUGGGGAAUAUUGCACAAUGGGCGCAAGCCUGAUGCAGCCAUGCCGCGUGUAUGAAGAAGGCCUUCGGGUUGUAAAGUACUUUCAGUCGUGAGGAAGGUGGUGUAGUUAAUAGCUGCAUUAUUUGACGUUAGCGACAGAAGAAGCACCGGCUAACUCCGUGCCAGCAGCCGCGGUAAUACGGAGGGUGC